UACGGAGGAUGCGAGCGUUAUCCGGAUUUAUUGGGUUUAAAGGGUGCGUAGGCGGUAUGGUAAGUCAGCGGUAAAAGCCCGGGGCUCAACCCCGUCGUGCCGUUGAAACUGACGCCCUUGAGUGAGUGAGAAGUAAGCGGAAUGCGCGGUGUAGCGGUGAAAUGCAUAGAUAUCGCGCAGAACUCCGAUUGCGAAGGCAGCGUACCGGCGCCACACUGACGCUGAGGCACGAAAGCGUGGGGAUCGAACAGG
rnacentral:rRNA from 1 species